rnacentral:tRNA from 1 species
GCCGCCGUAGCUCAGCGUGGUAGAGCAGCUGGCUGUUAACCAGUUGGUCGACCGUUCAAGUCGGUCAGGCGGCG